rnacentral:rRNA from 1 species
GACGAACGCUGGCGGCGUGCUUAACACAUGCAAGUCGAACGGAAAGGCCCUGCUUUUGUGGGGUGCUCGAGUGGCGAACGGGUGAGUAACACGUGAGUAACCUGCCCUUGACUUUGGGAUAACUUCAGGAAACUGGGGCUAAUACCGGAUAGGAGCUCCUGCUGCAUGGUGGGGGUUGGAAAGUUUCGGCGGUUGGGGAUGGACUCGCGGCUAAUCAGCUUGUUGGUGGGGUAGUGGCUUACCAAGGCUUUGACGGGUAGCCGGCCUGAGGGGGUGACGGGAGAGCUGGGAACUAAAGUACGGGACAGAGUCCAACGGAAGACAGCAGAGCCGAAUUUAGAACAACGGGCGGAAGGUGAAUAAGCCAACCCCGCUGGGGGGAGGACGGCAAUCGGGGUGUAAACAAAGAAAGCCUAAGACGAAACGUAGGUGACGUUAAUGGAUAAAGAAGCACCAGCUACCUACGUG